UUCUGUCCCUUUAAUAUUCCUUAAAUGGAAACCAUAGAAAUGAAAUCCGCAUUUCGUCUCCGUAUCUGUUAUGCCGUUUCAUCUGUCUUCCUCCUAUCUUUUGUUUCAGUCACUUUACAUGCUCCAUGUGUUUCUCUCUCUCUCUCUCCAUCUGUCCACUACAGCUGUUCCGGAUCCCCAGCCGAUUGGUGAUUAGAUGACCUCUACUUCAGGCAGAAAAAGAAGUGUCCAUACCAACUGUCAGCCAGCUGCGUCACCCUACAGGAAGCUGUGGACCUUUCUUCCCAGUUGGGCACACAGGAUGUGUGAGCUCUCACUGAAGUAAAACGCGUUACUCUACGGACACCUCUUCCCCCACUGCCAGCGGCUCGCACCAUCGCACUCUCAGGAGACCCCACUGAUUUCCUAUUGGCUCCAGCUAAUACUUCCCUACACUUGCUGCAUCUCAGUCUCUCACAGACGGCUUCAGUGUCAUUUAGGAUCUGGUCAGAGAUGUGUUAGUGUGUGUUACUCAUGUCAAGACGGGUAGCCUGGCAAUGCUGCUAUGUAUUUUCUUGCCUACCCUACCUAUGCUGUAUACUUUUUUUGUGUGAAAUAAGACUGGUAAAGGUGACUGAGUUGGCUCUGCAAACACUAAGUCCUGCACAAAAAUGUUGCAUAAUACCAGCAAUAAAGAUUGGCACUCUGUAUAAUGCCCAUGAAGAGACAAGAA